GCUAGUUACCAUCAUUUAGUUGGGGACUCUAGCGAGACUGCCAGUGAUAAACUGGAGGAAGGUGGGGAUGACGUCAAAUCAUCAUGCCCCUUAUGACCUGGGCUACAAACGUCAUACAAUGGCUGAAACAAAGAGAAGCGAAGCAGUGAUGUGGAGCAAAACUCAUAAAAGCAGUCUCAGUUCAGAUUGUAGUCUGCAACUCGACUACAUGAAGUCGGAAUCGCUAGUAAUCGCAGAUCAGCAUGCUGCGGUGAAUACGUUCUCGGGGUUU
rnacentral:rRNA from 1 species